CACAGACCAUAUUCUUGUUACAGCUUACCAAAUGAGAAACAAAACUGCUCUUAUUGCCGUCCCUGUAACAGGAAUGGUUCAGUUUUAAGCUUCCUUUAAAAAUAUACAUUUUACAAUCCUUUCACCUCAACAAAGGUGACACUGACAAUAAAUACACUGGUUUGGUGGUUUUCUUUCUCUUUUCCACGAAAAGUCUAGAAACUACCUGUUGUAGGCCCUUUCUUUUUUGGACUUCUCCAACGCCUUGUCCAUAGUUUUCUCAUUUUCUCCUCUACAUUUGGGGCAGUACCAUUUGCCCUUCGGUUUGUGAUUGAGUCCCACGCACGAAAAGUGAAACCACUCGAUGGGGCACUCAUCGUUAUCGCAUCCUAUCAUUUCUCCGUAAGAGACUUGGUUGCAUAAGCAGUAUGUCGGCUCGUUAGGAUCGAUGGGAAGGUCUGGGGGAGAAGCUUCCCGCUCUGCUUUAGCCUUGGAUCGUUUCUUCUUCUUGGACGUUUUUGCCUUCUUCUCCUUUGGAGUUCCUGAAGUGAUGUCAUCGUGGUCAUGAUUAUUCGAAGCAUUUUCUCGAUUCUCGUUAUUUCUUUGCCGCCUCGACCUCUUAUUGUUGGGCUUCUCAGAUUGAGCGAUUGUCUCAUUCUUUGACUUAUCCUGGCUGGCUUUCCCGCUGUUUCCAGUGGUGUCGUUAGUCUCUUGGCAAGUCUCAAACAGUUCCACAUGGCUGUCCACCUGCCUGGAUCUGUUCUCGACCAGCUCCACCAUUUGACUGACGAUUUGGAUCUUCUCAUCUCCCAGCUCCUGACUCCGAAUCAAUGCCCUCUGUAUGCAGUGCAGCAUUCUUCUCUUCUGCACGGCAUCGUUCUCUCGUUUAAAUUUUUCAUAGUAGUCAUCCAGGUCCUUCAGAAUCUCUUGGUAUUUGGCGUCGAUUUCCCUCAUCAAGGAGACAUUUCUCUGCAGAUCGAAGGGCAGAGACUCGAUGGAGUCCAGAUAAUCCUCCACGUAGUUCACGAGGUGCAGCUGCUCUCCGUUUGCAGGACUCAACAUUUU
rnacentral:lncRNA from 1 species